rnacentral:rRNA from 1 species
UGCCUAUGGGGCGCAGCAGUGGGGAAUAUUGCACAAUGGGGGAAACCCUGAUGCAGCGACGCCGCGUGAGUGAAGAAGUAUUUCGGUAUGUAAAGCUCUAUCAGCAGGGAAGAAAAAAGACGGUACCUGACUAAGAAGCCCCGGCUAACUACGUGCCAGCAGCCGCGGUAAUACGUAGGGGGCAAGCGUUAUCCGGAUUUACUGGGUGUAAAGGGAGCGUAGGUGGCAAGGCAAGUCAGAUGUGAAAACCCGGGGCCCAACCCCGGGAGUGCAUUUGAAACUGUCUGGCUAGAGUGCAGGAGAGG